UAGGGAAUCCUCCACAAUGGACGAAAGUCUGAUGGAGCAACGCCGCGUGAGUGAAGAAGGGUUUCGGCUCGUAAAACUCUGUUGUUAAAGAAGAACAUAUCUGAGAGUAACUGUUCAGGUAUUGACGGUAUUUAACCAGAAAGCCACGGCUAACUACGCGCCAG
rnacentral:rRNA from 1 species